AGGGUUUGAUUAUGGCUCAGGAUGAACGCUAGCGGCAGGCUUAACACAUGCAAGUCGAGGGGUAACAGGGAUUGCUUGCAAUCCGCUGACGACCGGCGCACGGGUGCGUAACGCGUAUGCAACCUACCUUCUACAGGGGAAUAGUCAAUAGAAAUGUUGAAUAAUACCCCAUACGAUCUUUGAAUAGCAUUAUUUAGAGAAGAAAGUUCCGGCGGUAGAAGAUGGGCAUGCGUCCUAUUAGUUAGUUGGAGAGGUAACGGCUCCCCAAGACAUCGAUAGGUAGGGGUCCUGAGAGGGAGACCCCCCACACUGGUACUGAGACACGGACCAGACUCCUACGGGAGGCAGCAGUGAGGAAUAUUGGACAAUGGAGGCAACUCUGAUCCAGCCAUGCCGCGUGCAGGAAGACUGCCCUAUGGGUUGUAAACUGCUUUUAUACAGGAAGAAAUGUACCUACGUGUAGGUAUUUGACGGUACUGUACGAAUAAGGAUCGGCUAACUCCGUGCCAGCAGCCGCGGUAAUAC
rnacentral:rRNA from 1 species